UCUUGCGAGCACUUCGCAGACCGUCGCUAAUGAAUCUUGGGGCCGGUGUCGGGCCGGGGCGGCUUGAUCGGCAACUAGGAAACCCCAGGCGCAGAGGCCAGGAGCGAGGGCAGCGAGGAUCAGAGGCCAGGCCUUCCCGGCUGCCGGCGCUCCUCGGAGGUCAGGGCAGAUGAGGAACAUGACUCUCCCCCUUCGGAGGAGGAAGGAAGUCCCGCUGCCACCUUAUCUCUGCUCCUCUGCCUCCUCCCUGUUCCCAGAGCUUUUUCUCUAGAGAAGAUUUUGAAGGCGGCUUUUGUGCUGACGGCCACCCACCAUCAUCUAAAGAAGAUAAACUUGGCAAAUGACAUGCAGGUUCUUCAAGGCAGAAUAAUUGCAGAAAAUCUUCAAAGGACCCUAUCUGCAGAUGUUCUGAAUACCUCUGAGAAUAGAGAUUGAUUAUUCAACCAGGAUACCUAAUUCAAGGUAUUAGCUCUCGUCAGAAAGCUUUUACAUUUGAGCUCUGUGUUGGAAAUUCUAUUUUGGCAAUGAAUUGAAAUAGGAAAAGUUGG
rnacentral:lncRNA from 1 species